CAGCAGCCACGGUAGUACGUAGGUGGCAAGCGUUGUCCGGAAUUAUUGGGCGUAAAGGGCUCGCAGGCGGUUUCUUAAGUCUGAUGUGAAAGCCCCCGGCUCAACCGGGGAGGGUCAUUGGAAACUGGGAAACUUGAGUGCAGAAGAGGAGAGUGGAAUUCCACGUGUAGCGGUGAAAUGCGUAGAGAUGUGGAGGAACACCAGUGGCGAAGGCGACUCUCUGGUCUGUAACUGACGCUGAGGAGCGAAAGCGUGGGGAGCGAACAGGAUUAGAUACCCGAGUAGUCCCUGUCUCUUAUAC
rnacentral:rRNA from 1 species